rnacentral:lncRNA from 1 species
AUAAAUGACUGAACCAGAAGAACUGAAGCUGAUGUCAGAUUUCUCGCUUGGGUGAUGAGGAACAAGGCAGGAAGAGCAGCAAUGAGGAUAGAGGUGGAAGGGCAGCUCAGGAAUUUCCCUGGAGUUUUCCCAUCUUGAGACUUCGGUCUUGGAAGACAGAAUGGCUGUGACAUAAUGUGGACUUUUUACUUCCACCUCUAGGAAAGCGUUCUUUGGAACACCUUUGCUGAGUCUCUCUCUCCUCCGCUCAAGGGAUUCCGCUGACACAUUGCAUUCUUGGGAGAACCUUCCAAUUCCAAUUAUGGACUAGCUGCUCCUACCCUGUGCUCUUCGCUUGGAUGUUGUCUCCAUUUACAAGGCCAAAACAGGUUCAUCAUCAGCUCAUCACUCUCUAGUCCCGGGAAGGGCAGCAUGGAGUUAAAAUGACAGAGGAAGAAGGCAUUUUCACACAAGGCUGGCCAGAUGGGAAGAAUCUUCAGCUUCAGCUUCAGCUUGGCCUCAUUCAUUUGAAAAUAAAAUGUUUACAUGAGGCCGCGCCUGUGUCCAGCUGAAAGUGGGUCCUUCAGAGCGUGUGGGGGAUUCUCUGCCGGCUUGAUGGGCUAGCUCCUCUAAGCCGGCUGCUGGAGACAUCACCGGCUGAGGGACUCCUGCAAACGUUCAUACAUGAUUUGAUCCUGAAAGGAGGGAGAACACAGAAUACAGAGACCGUCACUGCUUGUUUUGGGCUGAAUGGUGCCCCCCAAAAUUCACAUGCUGCAGUCCGCACCCGCAGGACCUCAGAAUGUGAUUGUAACUGGAGAGAGGGUCUUUAUAGAGGAGACUGGAUUAAAAUGAGGUCAUACAGGUAGACUCUUAUCCAAUAUGACUGCUCUCCUUACAAAAAGAGGGGAUUAGGGCACAGGAGGGAAGAGCAUGUGCGCAGAGGGAAAAGCACAUGCAGGCGCUGGGAGAAGACAGCCAUCAGUGAGGACAAAGGCUCCAGAAGAACCAAUCCUGCCCAACACUCUCCAGAACUGUGAGAAAAUAAAUUUUCCACUUUUUAAGCC